rnacentral:rRNA from 1 species
UACGAAGGGGGCUAGCGUUGUUCGGAUUUACUGGGCGUAAAGCGCACGUAGGCGGAUCGUUAAGUCGGGGGUGAAAUCCUGGAGCUCAACUCCAGAACUGCCUUCGAUACUGGCGAUCUUGGGUCCGGAAGAGGUGAGUGGAACUCCUAGUGUAGAGGUGGAAUUCGUAGAUAUUAGGAAGAACACCAGUGGCGAAGGCGGCCCACUGGUCCGGUACUGACGCUGAGGUGCGAAAGCGUGGGGAGCAAACAGG